GGAGCGGUAGCUCAGUGGUAGAGCAUCCGACUGCAGUUCGGGCGGUCAUGGGUUCAAUUCCCAUUCGCUCCU
rnacentral:tRNA from 1 species